rnacentral:rRNA from 1 species
AUUGAACGCUGGCGGCAGGCUUAACACAUGCAAGUCGAGCGGGGUGAUGGUGCUUGCACUAUCACUUAGCGGCGGACGGGUGAGUAAUGCUUAGGAAUCUGCCUAUUAGUGGGGGACAACAUCUCGAAAGGGAUGCUAAUACCGCAUACGUCCUACGGGAGAAAGCAGGGGAUCACUUGUGACCUUGCGCUAAUAGAUGAGCCUAAGUCGGAUUGGCUAGUUGGUGGGGUAAAGGCCUACCAAGGCGACGAUCUGUAGCGGGUCUGAGAGGAUGAGCCGCCAGAGUGGGACUGUGACACGGCCCAGACUCCUACGGGAGGCAGCAGUGGGGAAUAUUGGACAAUGGUGGGACCCCUGAUCUGGCAAUGCCGCGUGUGUGAAGAAGGCCUUAUGGUUGUAAAGCACUUUAAGCGAGAAGGAGGAUCUUUUGGUUAAUACCCAAGAUGAGUGGACGUUACUCGCAGAAUAAGCACCGGCUAACUCUGUGCCAGCCGCCGCUGUAA